rnacentral:rRNA from 1 species
GACGAACGCUGGCGGCGUGCUUAACACAUGCAAGUCGAACGGAAAGGCCCUGCUUUUGUGGGGUGCUCGAGUGGCGAACGGGUGAGUAACACGUGAGUAACCUGCCCUUGACUUUGGGAUAACUUCAGGAAACUGGGGCUAAUACCGGAUAGGAGCUCCUGCUGCAUGGUGGGGGUUGGAAAGUUUCGGCGGUUGGGGAUGGACUCGCGGCUUAUCAGCUUGUUGGUGGGGUAGUGGCUUACCAAGGCUUUGACGGGUAGCCGGCCUGAGAGGGUGACCGGCCACAUGGGGAAUGAGAUACGGCCCAGACUCCUACGGGAGGCAGCAGUGGGGAAGAUUGCACAAUGGGCGGAAGCCUGAUGCAGCAACGCCGCGUGCGGGAUGACGGCCGUCGGGUUGUAAACCGCGUUCGCCUGUGACGAAGCGUGAGUGACGGUAAUGGGUAAAGAAGCACCGGCUAACUACGUG